AAUAAACCGGUGCCAAAAAAAACCAACACUAGGGAAUUGGUCGCACGCACUCGCACCCUACCCCACCCCACGCCACGCGCGAUCCCCUCACCGCCGCCCCUCUCCGGAUCGCCGCCACCGCCACCGCCGCUCCGGAUCGCCGCCACCGCCACCGCCGCUCCGGAUCGCUGCCCCCACCGCUGUCGUCGCCGCCGUCUCUCCGGAUAACCGGCAGCGCCGCCGCCGCCGUCUGGAUCGCUGCUGAUGUAUCUCCAGAUCGCAGCCACCGCCGCCGUCUGGAUCGCCGCCGCCAUCACACAGAAGACAGUGCAGGAGCUGCCGCCGCCGCCCGCCCCCCAUCUCCUCCCCUGAUCCAACUAAACAUCCCGUAAACUGAAAAAGAGGGUGAUUGGUUAGGAUGCUGCAGCAGCUAAUAAGAUGGGAAGACAACUCACUUUGCCCCUCCUCCAAGCACAUCAGCGACUCUUCGAUCUGCUUCUCUCCCUCGCAAGAUAUGAGAUUCUUAUAUACCAUUGUUGCAUCAUGUUGCACACAUGCAAUUCUAUUGUUUUGUGUAAGAGCCAUUGACUUUUGUGGAGAAGUUCGCGUCACGAUGGAAUUCUGCUGUCAAGGUCGCCAUGUCGGCGAGCUCGUUGGCGUCAUACUGCCCCAACAAGAGCGCCAUCGGGUCGGCGGCGCUGCUGGCGGCUGCAACCAUGGAUGAUGGAAAUUGUGAGUCCUGCAAAAUCCGUGCGUGGGUUAGGAUAACAGGUUGAGCCAUCUGUUCCUCUACAGUCAAACGCUUGAUUGGGAUGUUCUAUCCAUGAUGGGAUCAGAUUCAUGAAACUCGACUUGUUGAAGUUUCAGUCCAGCUUCACUCACCGCCUUUCAUUGUCAUCGAGACAACCAACAUUGCUCAGAACGCCGCAUCCCCGGCCUACUCUCUCUUCACCCGUCAAUGCUCAUGUGCUUCGACCCUCCCCGACCCCUCCCAGCAAGCAGUAGAGUCUCUCUUGUUCGAGCUCCACCGGGCCGCGGCGGCGACGUCCAUGUUCGUUGGGCGGAGCACAAUGCUGGGGUUGAAAUCCACCAUGCUGCUACUGAUGAGGCUCUCCUCCUUUGUCCACCGGUUAUCGGACAACUGCCUAUGAGACAUCCACUGUCGUACACUCAUUUGAUCGUGCUGAUGCGCCUGGCUGUGGGAUGGCUUCUGCUGGGAUGCUUCGAGAUUUCACGAAUCCAUUAUGAAGAAAUAGGGUGGCCGCCCGCUUUAUUUCAUGAAUCCAUUAUCGCCUACAGAAUAACGUCCUGGCCCUCCCAGUUUGAGUGAUUCACUUUAUUUUGCUAUAUCUCAACUGUACAUGCAUCGUUUAUGUUCGCCGGCCUGCGCCCCUGUGUCUCCUCAUGUUAAUGUGGUUGCUGGUCGCGGGACUGACGAGGAGGUCAUUGUGGAGCGGUGGUGCUGGCUGUGGCCUACCAGGAUAUCAUAAGUUCUCCCUUGUUCUUUUGUGUUUGAAUCAGAUUUAGUGGUUCUUGAUUUUACAGGCAUGCAUCGAUCUUGCUCAUGUUCUGUAUGUAGGAUACACUUAAUGUUUUAUGGGAUGUUCUGCAGAUUUUUAGAACACUAAGGGCAUAUUUUGGCUUGAAUGCCGUUGGGUCGAUGAAGGUCAUGCAACAUGGCAGGUGUGCAUGUGUCCACUUGGAAGCUACUUGUUUCGUGAGUUGUUCGAGACGAAAACCCAGUCUAUAUGAUGGACUGCUCUCCUAUUUUUUUUAUGUGUGCGCCUGCUCCGUGCUCUUUUGUUCCCAGCAGGCUAUUGUGUUGAUCCAUGGGGAUUUCUUUUUACCCCUGCCAUUGGUUUUCUCUGUAAAACGCAGGUUUUGCUUACUCGUGGUUGUAUGUUGGCUUCGUGCUGGUGGGCUAUAGUUCUCCUGUCACAAAUCAUGGAGACAUUCAUCCUCGCAGAUUUCUGCUCCUGCUAUGUGAAAAGGGCAAUCCACAACAUGAAUAUACAUGUAGCAAUGGUGUGCCCUUGGAACGUCCUGCAGUAAGCCCUCUAAAAGAAUCCUUAUGAAGUGUUCCUAGAGUUUGGUGGAUAUGACCGGAGUGAUAUUUUCAUAAGGAAGUCCAAGGCACAAGGGCUAUAAAUGUUAAGGAUUGCCUGACCGCGACAACUAUUGGGUUCCGUCUCACCAUGAAGUGUCGCAAUAAGGCCAUUGAUCCAGUUGUUGGGUAUGCACAUUGUGGAAUGGUUGUAGCAACUCGCUGGACUGCGAAUCAGGCCAUUCCCUUCCUCAGCAGAGCAGUCGGGCAAUUUUUGGACUACAAAAUUAGGUAAGUAAUUGAAUAUAUUUUUAUGGUCUGAAAAGCUUUCCAUUUAAAUGUUUCACGAAACUAGACCUUUUCUUUUGUAAACAAGGACUAGAACCGUGGAAGAAGUUACUGAGUUAGCCUAAUCUAAGAUAGAACAGAUGCACUUUUGGAAAGCUUUUUUGAUUGCUAAAUCCGAUUAUCAGAGCUAAGAAGCAACUUUUCUAAACAUAUAGUUUGACAAGUUGUUACUCUUUGUGCACUGUGUGUGCUGCUUCUUUUGAACGUUCAGAGUUGAAGGUUAUUUCUGCUCUAAUGUUAUACAUUUUUAUUAGCAUGACGCAAGGUUAAUUUAUUUCUUCUUAUCUUGUGUUAUUUAUUUUUCAAAUAUUAUAAACCGCUGAUGCCCGAAUCCUGCUUUAUUCAAUUGAAUGUAAAGUUCUCUCCUUCAAUAUUCUAAUGCUUUACCAAUUUUUCAUAUGUGAGAAACCGAGAAGAAGGGCGCAUGCACAAUUUAUACCAGCAUCACAUGCCAAAUUGGUUUCUCUUUGUGUUAGUUUCCUUCUCAAAUUGGCAAGUUGUAGACAUCAGAUUCUUUUCCCUUCAAACGAAUAUAAAACACUCUUCUUUACUUUCCGAUUCAUUCAUUUAUUUUUGACACUCUGUUCAUUUAAAAUUUUGAAGUUCAAAUGAAUAAGUAAGAGCUGCAGUUGAUCAUGUUGUCCAAAAAAGGCUUGAUCCAACCAACAGAAUGACUUGAUUAAUUGGGCUUAUAAGCUGGUUGCAUCAACUGAUAGAUGCACUAAUGUAUGUAAGUGAAAUUAUCUCCUUGAGUCAUGAUUGGCAUAUUUCCUUGCUUGAUGAAGGUUCCAUCUCUACAUAAUACUCCCUCCAUUCCUAAAUAUAGGGUGUAUAGUUUUUGGCACAGAAAUUAAAGAACACACAUGGAGGGAAAAUUUCACAAAUUUUGGGCGACAUUACACAUGACUAAUUGACAUGAGAAAAUAGAGGAGCUUGCGUGAUAUAAGGAAAUGUAAACAAAUCCCUCAAAAAAUUAUCUAAACGAGUGGUGCAGCGCAAUACACCUUAUAUUUAGGAUUUUUUUUCUCAAAAAUCUAUACACCUUAUAUCAAGGAACGGAGGGAGUAGUUUUCUAUGCAUAUGAAACUGCUCUAUAUAGACAAAAGGUGGACGACUACAAAUCCAGUGGCCAUUACUCCGUUGUGGACAUGGGAGUCGUCUGAAUUUUGUCGUCCAUAUAGCAAGGUUCCUAUGCAUAUCCUGUCAAGUAAUUGUUUUCAUGAAAAUAUGAGGUGGGCCAUGGGCAUCAAUCUUCCGCAGGUUCAGGGUUGAAAAUGUCGACAACUUUGUAUGGUUGAAGGAUAUUCCAAGAUUUCCCACUCUCGCAAGAAAACAACUUGGCUCACUUAUGAUAAGAUGCUCUGGUGUUAAGUUUCUCCUCUUUUAUGGACCAAGAAGAUGAACUAUUUUGACAACAUCAACUGCAUUUGUACUGACAGAGCAUUUGUUAGCUGACAGAGCAUUUGUUGUGAUUGUGUUGGAAGUGCCGUGUAUGGCAAAGGUAGAUCCCGUUGUAGUGCAGAGCAGAGUUAGCACCAUUCAAGUCCAUUAUUGAAUGUGUGGAUAUUACCAAAUGAUGUAUGUCUCAUUUUCAUAUUAAAGUGUGGCUUCUAUUGCAAAAAAAGCUUGCGGCAAAGCCGAGGAGAUGGAUUGCAAGGGGGGAGAGAAGAUGUUUUCGUAGAUUAAAUUUUGUAAGAAAAGUAGUGUGUAUAUACUCUCUCUGUGAUUUAACUUUGACCACCAAACUUAAUUGAUGAUAUAUGUGUUAUGUGUCAUAAAAUUAUACCAUUGGAGUUUUUUGUAAUACGAAUUUGAUGAUAAAUUUUGUGACAUGUAAGCGACAA